UACGGAGGGUGCAAGCGUUAAUCGGAAUUACUGGGCGUAAAGCGCACGCAGGCGGUUGGAUAAGUUAGAUGUGAAAGCCCCGGGCUCAACCUGGGAAUUGCAUUUAAAACUGUCCAGCUAGAGUCUUGUAGAGGGGGGUAGAAUUCCAGGUGUAGCGGUGAAAUGCGUGGAUAUCGAGAGGAACACUCGUGGCGAAGGCGAGCUACUGGACAACAUCUGACGCUGAGGCUCGAAGGCCAGGGGAGCAAAAGGG
rnacentral:rRNA from 1 species